UCAAGAUAUACAAUUGGCAACAACUAGAAAUAUUUCAGAAAAUGGUUAAAUACUUGUUCAUGCAUUAACUAAUUAACUUCAGGCUACAGAUAAGCCCAAUAGUUGAUAAACAGAAAAAAUAAGUCAAAAUGAGUCAUGGUUUUAGGAGUGAAGAGUAGGAAGCAUUUGUUUUUUAAUGCAUGGGUAACUCAAGUGACCUUUAUUUCAAGAUUUUUAUGGCAAAGUAACUUCUCUUGGCUCUGUAGGAAGAGCAUUACCUGUGUACUAACCAGAGCAACAAAUGGGAGGCAAGAAACAUUUAUUGUUCAUUCCAGGAGCUUUAACUUAAAGCAACAGUAAAGAAACAUUUUAACACCACAAGCAAGAUGUGCCACCCCAGUCUCCUGGACUGAGACAACAUUAAACCAGAUGAAGCUCAAAGAGACAUCACUCAUGUCCUCAAGUUGAGGUUCUGACACUAUCUAAAUAAAAACUGCUCAGCACAUGACUUUGUCUAUACA
rnacentral:lncRNA from 1 species